rnacentral:lncRNA from 12 species
UCCUUUUUAACCCCUCAGAAUUUCCUUUUUACCCCUCACAAUUCCCAUUUAAUCCCUCACAAUUCCUAUUUAUCCCCUCACAAUCUUCCCCAGAAUUUCCUUUAUCCCCCUCAGAAUUCCAUUUAUCCCCUCAGAAUUCCAUUUUAAACCCCUCACACCCCUUUAUCCCCUCACAAUUCCCCAUUAUCCCCUCAGAAUUCCCUUUUUACCCCCUCAGAAUUCCCUUUUUAACCCCCCCAAAUUCCGAUUUGUCCCCUCAGAAUUUCCUUUUUAAUCCCUCACAUCCCUUUAUCCCCUCACAAUUCCCAUUUAUCCCCUCAGAAUUCCCUUUUCCCCCGCAGAAUUCCCAUUUAUCCCCUCAGAUUUUCCUUUUUUAAGCCCUCACAUCCCUUUAACCCCUCAGAAUUCCCUUUUACCACCUCACAUCCCGUCAUCCCCUCAGAAUUCCCCUUUCCCCCAAAAAAUUCCCAUUUGUCCCCUCAGAAUUUCCUUUUUAACCGCUCACACCCCUUUACCCCCUCAGAACCCCCUUUAUCCCCUCACAAUUCCUAUUUAUUCCCUCACGAUUCCCAUUAUCCCCUCACGAUUCCCAUUUAUCCCCUCACGAUUCCCAUUUAUCCCCCCCCCCCCCCCCCCCCCCCCCCCCCCCCCCCCCCCCCCCCCCCCCCCCCCCCCCCCCCCCCCCCCCCCC